AACCCGACUACAUGAAGCUGGAAUCGCUAGUAAUCGCGAAUCAGAAUGUCGCGGUGAAUACGUUCCCGGGUCUUGUACACACCGCCCGUCACACCAUGGGAGUCGGAUAUGCCCGAAGCCGGUGACCUAACCGCAAGGAAGGAGCCGUCGAAGGUGGAGCCGAUGACUGGGGUNAAGUCGUAACAAGGUAGC
rnacentral:rRNA from 1 species